GACAAACGCUGGCGGCAUGCCUAACACAUGCAAGUCGAACGGACAGAACAGGGAAGCUUUUCGGAGUGGAACGGGAAAGUUAGUGGCGGAUGGGUGAGUAACGCGUGGACAACCUACCUUGUAAAGGGGAAUAACCUCGAGAAAUCGAAGCUAAUACCCCAUAAUAACCUUGCUUCGCAUGAAGUAAGGCGGAAAGGCGGCCUAGCGCUGUCGAUACAAGAUGGGUCCGCGUCUGAUUAGCUAGUUGGUGGGGUAAAUGCUCACCAAGGCGACGAUCAGUAGACGGCCUGAGUGGGUGACCGGCCACAUUGGAACUGAGACACGGCCCAUACUCCUACGGGAGGCAGCAGUGGGGAACCUUCCGCAAUGGGCGAGAGCCUGACGGAGCAAUGCCGCGUGAGUGACGAAGGCCUUCGGGUUGUAAAACUCUGUCCUUAUCGAAGAGAGAGUGUUGUAGUAACUGACAAUACUAGGACGGUAGAUGAGGAGGAAGCCCCGGCUAACUAUGUG
rnacentral:rRNA from 1 species